AUUGAACGCUGGCGGCAUGCUUUACACAUGCAAGUCGAACGAGUGGCGAACGGGUGAGUAAUAUAUCGGAACGUACCGAGUAAUGGGGGAUAACCAAUCGAAAGAUUGGCUAAUACCGCAUAUUAUUCGAGCGGUCGAUAACUGAUUAGCUAGUUGGUGGGGUAAAGGCCUACCAAGGCGACGAUCAGUAGCGGGUCUGAGGGGACGAUACGCCCGACUGGGACUGGGACACGGCCCAGGCUCCUACGGAAGGCAGCAGUGGGGAAUAUUGGACAAGGGGGGCAACCCUGAUCCAGCCAUGCCGCGUGUAUGAAGAAAGCCUUCGGGUUGUAAAGUACUUUUGUUAGAGAAGCGGUACCUAAAGAAUGGGCACCGGCUAACUACGUGCCAGCCGCCGCGGUAAUUC
rnacentral:rRNA from 1 species